AUUGAACGCUGGCGGCAUGCCUUACACAUGCAAGUCGAACGGCAGCGGGGGAGAAGCUUGCUUUUCCUGCCGGCGAGUGGCGAACGGGUGAGUAAUACAUCGGAACGUGCCCUGUAGUGGGGGAUAACUAGUCGAAAGAUUAGCUAAUACCGCAUACGACCUGAGGGUGAAAGUGGGGGACCGCAAGGCCUCAUGCUAUAGGAGCGGCCGAUGUCUGAUUAGCUAGUUGGUGGGGUAAAGGCCUACCGAGGCGCCGAUCAGUAGCUGGUCUGAAAGGACGAUCAGCCACACUGGGACUGAGACACGAGCCAGACUCCUACGGGAGGCAGCAGUGGGGAAUUUUGGACAAUGGGCGAAAGCCUGAUCCAGCAAUGCCGCGUGUGUGAAGAAGGCCUUCGGGUUGUGAAGCACUUUUGUCCGGAAAGAAAUGGCUCUGGUUAAUACCUGGGGUCGAUGACGGUACCGGAAGAAUAAGGACCGGCUAACUACGUGCCAGCCGCCGCGGUAA
rnacentral:rRNA from 1 species